AUUGAACGCUGGCGGCAGGCUUAACACAUGCAAGUCGAACGGUAACAGGAGAAAGCUUGCUUUCUUGCUGACGAGUGGCGGACGGGUGAGUAAUGCUUGGGAAUCUGGCUUAUGGAGGGGGAUAACGACGGGAAACUGUCGCUAAUACCGCGUAGAAUCGAGAGAUGAAAGUGCGGGACCGCAAGGCCGCAUGCCAUAGGAUGAGCCCAAGUGGGAUUAGGUAGUUGGUGGGGUAAAGGCCUACCAAGCCGACGAUCUCUAGCUGGUCUGAGAGGAUGACCAGCCACACCGGGACUGAGACACGGCCCGGACUCCUACGGGAGGCAGCAGUGGGGAAUAUUGCGCAAUGGGGGCAACCCUGACGCAGCCAUGCCGCGUGAAUGAAGAAGGCCUUCGGGUUGUAAAGUUCUUUCGGUAUUGAGGAAGGUUGUUGUGUUAAUAGCACGACAAAUUGACGUUAAAUACAGAAGAAGCACCGGCUAACUCCGUGCCAGCAGCCGCGGUAAUACGGAGGGUGCGAGCGUUAAUCGGAAUAACUGGGCGUAAAGGGCACGCAGGCGGACUUUUAAGUGAGGUGUGAAAUCCCCGGGCUUAACCUGGGAAUUGCAUUUCAGACUGGGAGUCUAGAGUACUUUAGGGAGGGGUAGAAUUCCACGUGUAGCGGUGAAAUGCGUAGAGAUGUGGAGGAAUACCGAAGGCGAAGGCAGCCCCUUGGGAAUGUACUGACGCUCAUGUGCGAAAGCGUGGGGAGCAAACAGG
rnacentral:rRNA from 1 species